UACGUAGGGUGCAAGCGUUAAUCGGAAUUACUGGGCGUAAAGCGUGCGCAGGCGGUUUUGUAAGACAGGGGUGAAAUCCCAGGGCUUAACCUUGGAACUGCAUUUGUGACUGCAUAGCUAGAGUACGGUAGAGGGGGAUGGAAUUCCGCGUGUAGCAGUGAAAUGCGUAGAUAUGUGGAGGAAUACCGAUGGCGAAGGCAGCCCCCUGGGAUGACACUGACGCUCAUGCACGAAAGCGUGGGGAGCAAACAGG
rnacentral:rRNA from 1 species